GUAGGUGGCAGGCGUUGUCCGGAAUUAUUGGGCGUAAAGCGCGCGCAGGCGGUUCUUUAAGUCUGAUGUGAAAGCCCACGGCUCAACCGUGGAGGGUCAUUGGAAACUGGAGAACUUGAGUACAGAAGAGGAAAGCGGAAUUCCACGUGUAGCGGUGAAAUGCGUAGAGAUGUGGAGGAACACCAGUGGCGAAGGCGGCUUUCUGGUCUGUAACUGACGCUGAGGCGCGAAAGCGUGGGGGGAGCAAACAGGAUUAGAUACCCCGGUAGUCCACGCCGUAAACGAUGAGUGCUAAGUGUUAGGGGGUUUCCGCCCCCCUUAGUGCUGCAGCUAACGCAUUAAGCACUCCGCCUGGGAGUACGGCCGCAAGGCUG
rnacentral:rRNA from 1 species